UACGUAGGGUGCAAGCGUUGUCCGGAAUUAUUGGGCGUAAAGAGCUCGUAGGCGGUCUGUCGCGUCUGCUGUGAAAACUCAGGGCUUAACCCUGAGCUUGCAGUGGGUACGGGCAGACUAGAGUGCGGUAGGGGAGACUGGAAUUCCUGGUGUAGCGGUGAAAUGCGUAGAGAUCAGGAAGAACACCGGUGGCGAAGGCGGCAUCCUGGACCAAUAUUGACGCUGAGGAGCGAAAGCUAGGGGAGCAAACGGG
rnacentral:rRNA from 1 species